rnacentral:rRNA from 1 species
UACGUAGGGGGCAAGCGUUGUCCGGAUUUAUUGGGCGUAAAGAGCGUGUAGGCGGCCAGACAGGUCCGUUGUGAAAACUCGAGGCUCAACCUCGAGACGCCGAUGGAAACCGUUUGGCUAGAGUCCGGAAGAGGAGAGUGGAAUUCCUGGUGUAGCGGUGAAAUGCGCAGAUAUCAGGAAUAACACCCGUGGCUAAGGCGGCUUCCUGGUCCAGCACCGACGUUCAGGCACGAAAGCGUGGGGAGCAAACAGG